GACGAACGCUGGCGGCAUGCCUAAUACAUGCAAGUCGAGCGAACAGAUGAAGUGCUUGCACUUCUGACGUUAGCGGCGAACGGGUGAGUAACACGUAAGGAAUCUACCUAUAAGCGGGGGAUAACAUUCGGAAACGGGUGCUAAUACCGCAUAAUAUCUUCUUCCGCAUGGAAGAAGAUUGAAAGACGGCUCUGCUGUCACUUAUAGAUGACCUUGCGGUGCAUUAGUUAGUUGGUGGGGUAUGGCCUACCAAGACGAUGAUGCAUAGCCGACCUGGGAGGGUGAUCGGCCACAUUGGGACUGUGACACGGCCCAAACUCCUACGGGAGGCAGCAGUAGGGAAUCUUCCGCAAUGGGCGAAAGCCUGACGGAGCAAUGCCGCGUGAGUGAAGAAGGCCUUCGGGUCGUAAAACUCUGUUAUAAGAGAAGAACAAAUUGUAGAGUAACUGCUACAGUCUUGACGGUAUCUUAUCAGAAAGCCACGGCUAACUACGUGCCAGCCGCCGCAGUAA
rnacentral:rRNA from 1 species